GGCUCAGAUCUGCUAUUGAAAAAUAAAGUAUUGCAAGUUCCUCUACACCUUUAACUAUGAGGUGGCUGCAAGUGGUUGCCUACGAUGUAACAGACCAUCCAAGCUUGCCCUACAACUACAAUCAUAAGAACAGAAAUACAUCACCUCCAUCUCUCUCUAGACUCUUUAAGCACAUCUCACACAGGCAGUCAUCAUAGCCUCUUUAUGAAUAAAGCACUGCUGGUUUUAGGUUGGAUACAGACCGGCAGUAUCGGACCCACUCUUGAGCCGAGCCU
rnacentral:lncRNA from 1 species